rfam:Cucumis sativus cultivar 9930 chromosome 3, whole genome shotgun sequence.
UUUGGAUCGAUGAUGUGAUUUCAAAUCUGCGUUAUCUAUCUGCAAUUUCCUUUUAGGAAUUGAAGAUAACCUAUCAUUUCUGAGAUCUGUU